rnacentral:lncRNA from 1 species
CCUCCCAGGUUCAAGCGAUUCUCCUACCUCAGCCUAACAAGUAGCUGAGACUACAGGCGCCUGCCCCCACUCCUGGCUAAUUCUUUGUAUUUUUAGUAGAGAUGGUACCAUGUUGGUCAGGCUGGUCUCGAACUCCUGAGCUCAGGUGAUCCACCUGCCUCGGCCUCCCAAAGUGCUGGGAUUACAGCUGUGAGCCAUUGUGCCCAGCCUAUAAAGAACUUUUGAAUAAAAAUUCCCCGGGGAUUCAGCAUUUUACAACACAAAGUAAUCAGUUUCUUGUUAUUCAUAGGUAUCUAAGCAGAGACUUGGCAUAGAAGGAUUUCUUUAGAUCUAGCUAAAUAAUGUUAUGGGGCACCUGCCAGAGGCAGGGAAGUCUAUCUCCCACAGCCCCGAUUCACUGUGUUUGGGUGACCCUCAAGGGAUUGUCAACUCUGUACCUGGACAGAAGUAGAUGCGGGGUUUCACCGUAUUAGCCAGGAUGGUCUUGAUUUCCUGACCUCGUGAUCUGCCCUCCUCGGCCUCCCAAAGUGCUGGGAUUACAGGCGUGAGCCACUGCGCCUGGCCCUGGAUGGCUUAUUCUUUGGUCAGUCGUCAGUCUGGUUUGGAUCUGAAUGCACAGUUCAGGGGAUAAAGAUGACAAUGAGAAGACCAUGUCAGCUGCAUCAGAGAAAAGAUUUUCUGCUGGAACAGGUGAUCAGAUAUUCCAAGAAAAGGGGUGGAAGCCCUGCUGUGUGAAUGAUGAGAGUAGCUCAGCCAAGUCAUACGGAGGCCUUGAAGAAGGGAAUGGCAGUUGCAUUGAGCUGAGAGAGUGAACACAGGAGACGCUACCUGACCCUGGCUCUCGACUUCAUCUCUGGUUUCAGUGACAUGGCUCCCUGCUCACAUUUGAGAGAUUUGUUUCAUCCCUAAUAGCACAUGAACACAUAAAACAUUUUUCUUUUAUGCCCAAAUCAAGGCCGCAGGGCUCAGUAUCUGUUCUUCUCACUUCUCUGUGGUCUCUCAGGUAUUUGCCCAGUGAUUAUUGAAGAAUUACUUUAUGCUUAUUCUCCUGGGAAUAUGAAAAAAAAAUCACACUCAAGUUUUCAUUGUCUGAAUUUAAAUGAUAAUAAUUUAAAACACACAUGUCUUAAAAAGCAACCAACACCAUCUCUGUUUGAUCAUUGUAAUGGGGAGUAAAUAGCUCUCUCCAGAUUUCGGUCAUUAUACACAGUUAUUUGUUUCUAUUUAUUAUUAAAAUAUUUUCCUGCUAUCUCAUAUGGAACAGCUUUUGAAGAUUCCUGUGAGCCACAGCUGGAAAAUUCCUUCUUUGAAGUGCCCCGUUUAUUCAUCUUUUGUCAGUGGCAGGCCCUUUAUGCUCAGACAUUUAACACUUUUCACAGUUAUUUCAAAAUCUAUUUCAUUUGACGUAGAGUCAAUUUAUCAUUCUGCACACAUUCCCAUUUCUCUUUUCCCUCAUUUCUCUCACUUUGGCAUUCUUCUAAGUUCAUCCGAGUGCCUUUUUUUUUUCCUUUCAAGCUGUAUUUUGGAGCCUUGAAAAAGACACUGAAAGCCACUGCUUCAAAAUAUCCAUACCUGCAAUUUUUCUGUGGGUCCUGAUUAGGCCCAGAGCAUAUCAAAGAUGACUAAGAAAAGCUGAAGACUGGAACUUACGAAUUUGCCUAAUAAUAAGACCAACUGCUCUCUGACAUAAAUCGGAAGUAGUUCAUUGAAACAUAUCAGUUUGACUCUAGAAUUAAUGUGUGGCUGUGAUUGGUUAGCCUGGGAGCUAAAUAUUUUUACCCCAGGCUUUCUCAAUGGACCAGUUCUGCAUAUGGGCAAAAUUUGCAUCAAGUUGUCUAGGUGUGAAAUGAACCAAGGUGAUAAUCCCAUCGUUCUGAGACUAUUUCAGUUUUAGCACAGAGUAUCUCUCAGCAACAGCUAUACAAAAGGACUUUUUUCUUUACAUUCAUUUUAACUGAGUAUGACUAUUUUUCAGUUGACUUAAUCAGGAGAAAAGACAAUUUAGUAUAAUGGAAAUCCAGAUAGUUGAUACCUUGGGAUCAUUCUCUUAUUUGGUAUGAUAGCAGACACGGCAUAAACUCAGCAAAAAAUGCUUACCUACUAGCUAACUUCUGGCUACUAACAAUACAAAUAACAUUUAAGUUUGCAUAAAUCUUAGGAGGUAAUCAUUUCGUUGUACAUUGCACACAUCGGAACUCUGAGGAAUUUCUUUUCAGUUUGGAAAAAUUCUCAUAAGAGCUUCUUAUAACAAGCUUUUAUUAAUGUCAUGAUACAUGCUCAACUUUCAUCAAUGUUCUAUAGAUGUUUGAAAUGUAAUAUAAUCUAUGUGUAAAUUUAAAAUAUUUAAAAAACUUUAAAUUCUUAAUAUUUU